rnacentral:rRNA from 1 species
GUGUCAGCAGCCGCGGUAAUACGUAGGGUGCGAGCGUUAAUCGGAAUUACUGGGCGUAAAGCGUGCGCAGGCGGUUAUAUAAGUCAGAUGUGAAAUCCCCGGGCUCAACCUGGGAACUGCAUUUGAGACUGUAUGACUAGAGUGUGGCAGAGGGGGGUGGAAUUCCACGUGUAGCAGUGAAAUGCGUAGAGAUGUGGAGGAACACCGAUGGCGAAGGCAGCCCCCUGGGCCAAUACUGACGCUCAUGCACGAAAGCGUGGGGAGCAAACAGGAUUAGAUACCCUGGUAGUCCACGCCCUAAACGAUGUCAACUAGGUGUUGGUGGGGUUAAACCCAUUAGUGCCGUAGCUAACGCGUGAAGUUGACCGCCUGGGGAGUACGGCCGCAAGGCUAAAACUCAAAGGAAUUGGCGG